ACAAUCUUAUUAGUUUGUUUUAUGUCUUUACAAAUGUUCAAUUCAUAUGUUUUGUGGAAAGCUGAACUCAAUAUCGUCUAUAAUGUACCACUUCUUUAAAACAUAAGCGAUCAAUAUGUUUGGUUUAAACUUAUUUAUUACGACAUAGUAACAUAUUCACAAGUUACAAGACAUUGACAUAGGAUCAAUAUGUUUCAAUUAUGGUCCUCUUCCAGUUAGAAUAUAACUAUAGUACCUUGACCUUAUUGAAUAUGAACAAUUUCCCCAUGGUGGCUUACUUUAUACUGUCAAGCUCUUGAAUAGUCGAGCGCGCUGUUUUCUGACAGCUCUUGUUGUUUUUCUCAUCGACAUUUCCAUUUUAACAUUUAGUAGCCAAAAGGGUCCAAGUCCCCUUGAUCUCGCAAGAACGUACUGCCAGAAUUACGUUGAUCCACCAGGGUUUGAAGUAAAACCGUCAAUGAUGUCAUAGGCGAAGGAGUCUUUGCCACUAAGCCUUUUAAAAAAGGAGACUUUCUUCUCGAAUACAAAGGGGAUCUGAUAACACGAGUAAAACAUGCACGGCAAUUAGAAAAGGAGUAUGAAAAGGAGGGUCAAGGCAGCUUCAUUUACUUUUUUAAAUACAGAGACAAAUCUUGCUGCACUGACGCUACCAACGAUAUAUUUCAUGAGGGUCGAAUGAUAAAUGAUGCCGAAAAUGGAGACGCAAAACAAUAUUGUGUAAUGAAAAUAGUUGAAGUCAACCAAACUCUCCAUCUAUGCACUUUCGCCGACAGAGACAUUGCAAUUGGCGAGGAACUCCGAUAUGAUUAUGGAGUACCAACACUUCCAUGGAGAAAGGCAACACAAUGACUACUAGAUCUACGGACAGCCAGGAACCAGGACAAACAACAUCCACACACACGGAAGAAGUCAAUGAGACGAAAUGUACGGAACAAAAAAGGGCAACACAAUGACUACUGGAUCUACGGACAGCCAGGGACCAGGACAAACAACAUCCGUACACACGGAAGAAGUCGAUGAGACGAAAAGGGUACUUCAAAUACCAGGAGAACAAAACAAGCAGCCAAAAAGCAAUGGAGUGAAAACGAAAAAGGAGCUGUCCACAGACACUUUGAUCGUUUUUUGAUAAUGGGUAAAUUACCAGGGAAAAAAGAAAUACUUGCAUGUAUUGAAUGUGAGAAUGACCUUCACAACAGAAGUUGGAAAAAUGUCAAAGACUUUUGCAGAAAUUUAAUUGAAACAAAAAAGCGACGAGGACUUUUAACUUAAAAAAAUAUUACACAUAUAAUGCACGUUUAGGAGAAUACGUUAAAGGAUGAAGUUGCCACAUUUUUUUGUGUUUUCUUGUUCUAUAUACUCUUUUCGAAAACGAUAUAUGUGUGCUUAUUGUAUUUGAAUGUUUUAUUAAUACGGUUCAGUCAAAAACGUUAUUUGUUCAUAAUCAUAUCGCCGAACAAAUUAGGAUUGGUAUAUAGUUCGGCCAAAGAGUGUUUCUUUGUACUUUCUAUGACGAAUUUCUACGAGUUACUCACUAUACAAGUUAUUUUUUACCCUAAACUUGGUGUAUAUAAAUGAAUAUAGCAAACAUGAUAAAAAAUCAAUCUAGAAGGCUAAACGUUCAGAGAAGGCACAACAAAAUUCAGUCGGAUAAAUGGAAACAAACGUUUUGUUCAAGCAUAACAAACAAACACUUUUAGAUGUAAUAAGAUAAAUGUAAAUAACAUAAAAAAACUACUGCUAAACUACUGCUACAAUAUGAAGAAUACAAAUGAAUAUUUUGUCAAUUUUACUAAAUUUGUUUUGAAUGACAGGUGUCUGACUUGCAGUUGAGUACUUAAUAGAUAUUUUAAAGUAAAAAUUUACCAAAAUGUAAAUUAUUGCGUAAAUAUCGCACUAGAAUUGAUUAAAUAGUUGUUAAAUAUUACAAUAAUUUCCAACACAGAUUUGUGUGCAUUUGUUUUGCGUGUAGAUAUUCACAUAAGCUAUCAAUUCACAUAUUUGCUUUGUGUAUAUAAUUGGUAUGUUUAUAUGUUUUUCAUAUCAAAAUUGCUUGAUCUACAAAAAUUCGCGAGGAGUUUUGCAUUUUUUCCCAUGUUUUAAUUGAAGUUUAUAAUUCAACGACGAUGAAAAUUACUAAGAUGCCAGAUUUAGUUAUGUGUUUGUCUCAUUUAUGGUUAAAGAUCAAUUAACAUACCCAUUUCCCAGACUAAGAUAUUGUUAAAACAAUUUAUCGCGUUUGCGACUGACCUCUUUUAUGCAUUCUAACACAAGCUAUUUACUUGUUUUUUUUUCGAAUACUCUUCAUGUACACACACUUGAACAAGCUGUAGAUUACCUAGAACAAAACAUAUUUGAAACAUAUAUUCAUAUGUGAUAUGUAAAUGCAUGCACAAAGCUAAUAAUUUAUCAUGUUUAUACACUUUGCGAUAUGAUGCUAUAAUGUCGGUUGUUUUAAGUGAUUAAUCAUUAUGUUAACCAUGUUAUCUGCCAUCUGGAAUGUAAUUAAGUGUUUUGACAUGUAUGCGAAAUUGAUCGUGUUCGAUUUGGUGCUGUAUAUUCAGAAUUGAGUCACACUGUUAUAAUUUUCCUGUUGGUACAUAUUAUUUUUAAGUUGGCACCAACAAGGGUCUAACAAUUGAUCCACAUGUGCACUCCCAGUAAGUAUAUAUACUACAAUGUAAGUGAUUUAAAAUAAUAUUAAACUACGUGUUUGAUAAGUGUUUGCUUUGGUUCAUAUUUAAUUAUUAGUGUUUUUAUAUAAUGAUAAUGCUGUCAAAGUCAGCGGUGAUUAUACGUGUAUAACAACAUUAAUUAUAACUUUUAUAUUGUUUUCAACAAAUAAUAUAUGGAUGACACAUCGGCAUAACUUUUCAGUGCUUAAAAUACACUCUUUCUAUUAUAUUUUAUGCAAAAAUUAGGUACAUAAGUUGGUUUACAUAAAGGUAGUUUGAACAAAAUACGUGAAUUCAAAUCUUAAAAAAAGGUGUUUGGUUUGCAAGGGAAAACAAAGCGAUUACCAGUGACUAUUUUCCUUAAAAUAUAAUCUGUUAUUUCGACAGGUAGAAUUAAAUGUAAGUUCAUUAUUAACGUUAACCCGUUUUGGGCAUUCUCUACUCAAACAAAGGCAUACAUACUGUAUUUUUUUAAUACAACACAUGUUUAAUGGUAUCACAGUUGUAGAAUUGGAAUACAUAUAUUAUAACAAUAAAUACUGAUCAUUAUUCAGAUUGACCUACCUCCGUAGACUAAGUCACUGGAGCAUCAAAAUGCAUUGUUAUCAAGUCGUUUUGCUAGUUUACUAAACUAUUUAGUUUCUCAGGCCUCGCCACAUUAGUUGUGAAACGUUCAUGAUUGUUUCAAGUUACAGAUUUUAUUAUUUUUGAAAGUGCAAUAAAUGUAUUUAAGACAAUUUAAGUGAAGUGGAAGUUGCCAUGCGUGUGAAUGAAUUUUCUGAUGUUUACCUAUUUCAGGGGAUUAAAUGCAUGAGUUAUUUUAUAAUGUCAGAGUAAGGACAAAGUUAAUUUACACUACUCAAUCUACAUGCAUAUGGGCAGUUCUUCUUUUAGGAUAAAAAACUUCAUAGUACGUGAAAAUCGUGAAUGCUUUUUUCUGAUGGAAAAAAGGAAUUAAACAAAUAAGCCGCCUCCCCCUCUCCUUCAUUCGGUUUGACAAAUAGCGUGGCCUGAAAAAAAUAACAUUAUUUUUAAGUUUUAAGAACGAAUUGUUUUCAUUUGUUGAUUAAUUGCACCAUGAUUGUUAUGGUAUUUUGCAGCACUUGCAUGCUUGUAGUCGGCUUAUAUCUAAUGAAGUCAUAAAUGUAUUGUUUGAUUGUUUUGUCUCUUAUGCUUAUUUUGACGUGAAUACUAUUUGAGUCAAUCAAAUAAGGCAUUUGUGUAUAACUUAUAUAAGGUCAUAUGAUAAACAUAUUUAAUUUAAAUAUUGUAUCAUACAUAUUCUUUUCAAUUUUUGUACUAACAUAAAUAUUAUCCAUGAACGUGCACGCCAUUGUCCUAUUAACAACGGUACCAUAAUUACACACAAUUACCCCUGUUGGUAAACGCAAAUUCCCCGUUGGACAUUAUUGAAGUUCCACGGUGAUAGCGCGCUUAAGUUCCUCUCUUGGUUAACACAAUUCCCCUGUUGGCACACAUUAAAGUUCCACGGUUGGUACGCACAUAGUACCCCUGUUGGUAUACACCGUUCCCCAGUUGGAACACAUUGAAGUGCCACAGUUGGAACGCACUAAGUUCCCCUGUUGGUAUACACCAUUCCCCUGUUGGUACACAUUGAAGUUCCACAGUUGGUACGCACUUAGUACCCCUGUCGGUAUACACCGUUCCCCAGUUGGCACACAUCGCAGUUCCUCAUUUGGUACGCACAUAAUUCCCCGGUGUGCAUGUAAAAUUUUCUUUGAUUUAUUACCCUAUUUAUCAUAAUUUUUAUGUCAAAAUCGUAUUUUAGGUUCGAAACUUGUCUGUUCUUUAUCACUUUCAGCUUUCUAGAAUAUGUGGAAAUGGUGGUCCCCGGUUGGUAGGUUUAGAACACAUUUCCCCGGUUGGAAGGUUUUACAAGUAUGUGUGUGUGUGUGUGUGUGUGUGUGUGUGUGUGUGUGUGUGUGUGUGUGUGUGUGUGUGUGUGUGUGUGUGUGUGUGUGUGUGUGUGUGUGUGUGUGUGUGUGUGUGUGUGUGUGUGUGUGUGUGUGUGUGUGUGUGUGUGUGUGUGUGUGUGUGUGUGUGUGUGUGUGUGUGUGUGUGUGUGUGUGUGUGUGUGUGUGUGUUCGAUUGAUAUAUCUAAUUUAAUUAAAGUGUUUUGUGAAUAUCAAACAAUAUAUAUCUGUUUCGGAUAGUGUAUACUUUGAUGUUUAAUUCCCCGCUCUAAUUCUGUUGUUUUUCUUAUUAUAUUUGAUUUUGUUGUUACAUUUGUUUAUUGCAUAAUAAUCAGAAAUAAUCUAGGUAUUUGUUUUAAAGAAUCCAAUAAGCGAUAUUAUUACGACAGAAUGGUUAAGUUACAUACACGUAUAUGUAAUGUGAACUGCGUGUAAUAAUACUGUCAAAUAUACUUUCUGGCAAUAAUAUCAAUGGACUCAUACAUAUUUCAGUAUUCUCAAUUUUUAUAUUAAAAAAUACAUGCAUAAGUAUGUGAGCAAACUUUCGACUAUGUUAUCGUUUUAUUUACUGUCGAUGAGUGUUGAACUAGAUGUAUGUAUCAUUAAAACGCAAAGACGGCGUGGUUAAACCUUUUCUCAGUAUUUCGUUCCCUUCUCGGAAAUCGAGUUGAUAUUUUGACGAAAUAAAGUUUUGCGAGAAA